AUCCAGAUGACGAAUCCGAAAUAGGACGAAACGCGCGUCCUGGAU
rnacentral:hammerhead_ribozyme from 1 species